AACUACAUUGAUCUAAAGACCUUAAAAGCAUCAGAGCCUGUCUGAUCUUGGAAGUUAAGCAGGGUUAACCCUGAUUAGCAUUUGGAUGGUAAACUGCUAGGAAAUACUAGGUACUGUAGGCU
rnacentral:rRNA from 1 species